CGAUUUUUUAAAGUGGAUUUUUUAAGCUACAAAGUUCAGCAAUUCGGCUAUUUUUUGUCCCGGGGUCUGGACCCGAGUGAAAACAGCGCGUGACGUCACUGGUUGUACACACAUGUUGACAUUCUCAAUAUAAACAGUAAAGAACAUUUGUAUUAUCGCGCUGUAUAAAAUAUUUUAUCGUGAUUUCUACUCUUUUACUAUGUCGCACAGCGAAGAUUCUCUUAGUUACUCUAGCUUAGAGUAUGAUAACAUAACGGAGAGCAAUUUAGAAGGAAAUAUGAACGUAACGAAUUGUUUUGAGCCGUAUCAAGGGGAACUAUUGCCAGUACAGACGACAGCGAAUCUUCUGAUGAGGAACAGGACGAAGAUUACAUUUUGCCAUCUGUUUUGGAGAAGCGUUUAGAAAAAAUAUUCCAUUAGCACAUAGGUGAGUUCUACAAACAAUACUAAGUUACUUUAUUAUGAUUUUCAUGCAAUAUUUCCCUGAUAUUUGCCUUAUUAUUUAUCUCUGUUGUAGGUGUUCGUGUGGGAAUUGUGCCGAUCAAAAUCUGGCGAGUGUUCAGAGUACUGUUGCUGCAAAGAGAUUGUGGAAGUAACUGGAAAAUUUACUUGGAUUGGCAAGAAUGUUGAAUACAUCCUUAAUCAUCCUGACUUCAAUGCUAUGACAAAAGAGAAGUGAAGUUGGGCCUCUUCUAUUUACAAACAUGGAACUGAUGGAAGCUCCCAUGGAAUAAAAAAUGGCGCAGAUAAAAGGUACAUAUACUUCGGUUGUGCAUAUUAAUUCUGACUAGUAGCGAAAGUAAAACAACUUUACAGGUUCUAUAAAGAUAAAUUUGUAUUGUUAUAGAUUCCUCAGAGCAGUGUCAUAUCGUCGGCUGUUUGGCUUGAUGGGCUGGUAGAACACCAGCCCUUGUCACCAUGCAUUUACCAUCAUAUAAUGACUGCAUGUAUUUUGUACUGGUGAUGCUGGUAUAUAUCUGGAGAAGAGCAAGCGGAUAAUGAUAACUGAAGUCACUAUUAUGUAAAUAUUUCAUAACAUAAAACCCAAAGAAAAGUAUUAUCACCAAAUCUGUAAUGUGUAUUAAUGUUUUACAUAUUUAACUAGAAAAUACAUGCAUGCAGAAACCCUCGCCUUGCUGACAAAACCAUUGUAUUUUCCGAACAUGAAGUAUCUAAGUUGUCAUGGUAACACGAUAAUUUUUUAAGAAUAUUCUUACAAAUGAAAAAUCGCUUAUAAAUAUCACUUUUAAUCGCAAAAUUAUUAAUUUCCCAACAUAUAUAUCUUAGGUAUGUUAUUAUACGUGAUAUAAGCCUCGAUUUAAGGUAAAAUUCAAC